ACGAACGCUGGCGGCGUGCCUAACACAUGCAAGUCGAGCGGAGACAGUGAGUAGCUUGCUAUGAGCUGUUUUAGCGGCGGACGGGUGAGUAACGCGUGAGCAACCUUUCCCAGACAGGGGAAUAACACACCGAAAGGUGUACUAAUACCGCAUAAGACCACGGGAUCACAUGGUUCUGAGGUAAAAGAUUUAUCGGUUUGGGGUGGGCUCGCGUCCGAUUAGGUAGUUGGUGAGGUAACGGCCCACCAAGCCGACGAUCGGUAGCCGACCUGAGAGGGUGAUCGGCCACAUUGGGACUGAGACACGGCCCAAACUCCUACGGGAGGCAGCAGUGGGGAAUAUUGGGCAAUGGGGGGAACCCUGACCCAGCAACGCCGCGUGGAGGAAGAAGGUUUUCGGAUCGUAAACUCCUGUCCUUGGAGACGAGUAGAAGACGGUAUCCAAGGAGGAAGCCCCGGCUAACUACGUGCCAGCAGCCGCGGUAAUACGUAGGGGGCAAGCGUUGUCCGGAAUAAUUGGGCGUAAAGGGCGCGUAGGCGGCUCGGUAAGUCUGGAGUGAAAGUCCUGCUUUUAAGGUGGGAAUUGCUUUGGAUACUGUCGGGCUUGAGUGCAGGAGAGGUUAGUGGAAUUCCCAGUGUAGCGGUGAAAUGCGUAGAGAUUGGGAGGAACACCAGUGGCGAAGGCGACUAACUGGACUGUAACUGACGCUGAGGCGCGAAAGUGUGGGGAGCAAACAGGAUUAGAUACCCUGGUAGUCCACACUGUAAACGAUGAAUGCUAGGUGUAGGGGGUAUCGACCCCUUCUGUGCCGCAGUCAACACAAUAAGCAUUCCGCCUGGGGAGUACGGCCGCAAGGUUGAAACUCAAAGGAAUUGACGGGGGCCCGCACAAGCAGCGGAGCAUGUGGUUUAAUUCGACGCAACGCGAAGAACCUUACCAGGUCUUGACAUCCACUUAAACUUACAGAGAUGUAAGGUGUGCUUGCACAAAGUGAGACAGGUGGUGCAUGGUUGUCGUCAGCUCGUGUCGUGAGAUGUUGGGUUAAGUCCCGCAACGAGCGCAACCCUUAUUGCCAGUUGCCAUCAUUAAGUUGGGCACUCUGGCGAGACUGCCGGUGACAAAUCGGAGGAAGGUGGGGAUGACGUCAAAUCAUCAUGCCCCUUAUGUCCUGGGCUACACACGUACUACAAUGGCCGAAAACAAAGUGAAGCAAAGCCGCGAGGCGGAGCAAAUCACAAAACUCGGUCUCAGUUCAGAUUGUAGGCUGAAACUCGCCUAUAUGAAGUCGGAAUUGCUAGUAAUCGCGGAUCAGCAUGCCGCGGUGAAUACGUUCCCGGGCCUUGUACACACCGCCCGUCACACCAUGAGAGUCGAUAACACCCGAAGUCUGUAGUCUAACCGCAAGGGGGACGCAGCCGAAGGUGGGAUUGAUAAUUAGGGUG
rnacentral:rRNA from 1 species